rnacentral:rRNA from 1 species
CGUAGGGCCAGCGUUGUCCGGAUUUAUUGGGCGUAAAGAGCGUGUAGGCGGCCAGGUAGGUCUGGUGUGAAACUCGAGGCUCAACCUCGAGAUGUCAUCGGAAACCAUCUGGCUAGAGUCCGGAAGAGGAGAGUGGAAUUCCUGGUGUAGCGGUGAAAUGCGCAGAUAUCAGGAAGAACACCUAUGGCGAAGGCAGCUCUCUGGGGACGGUACUGACGCUGAGACGCGAAAGCGUGGGAGCGAACAGGAUU